CCCAAGAGCUGAGGCAGAAGAAGACAGAGCUGGAAGACAUCACAGCAGAAACAGAAAGAUUGAAACUGAAACUAGAGGAAGAGCUCACCACUGAACAUGAAGACGAGGUCCUGAACGCUCAGAUAAAGGCCGGGAUUCGCUCGAUGUAUCAAAUGAUCGCACCUUACUGGAAAGAGUCUGAAGCUGUUGAGGACCCCUUCAAGCAGCUGCAGCUGAUUCGAAAACAGUUUCAACUUAUGAAAGCUUUUGGUGAAGAACAAAAGCAGGUGAA